rnacentral:rRNA from 1 species
GUCUACGGCCAUGCCACCCUGAAAGUGACUGAUCUUGGAAGUUAAGCAGGGUCGGGCCUGGUUAGUACUUGGAUGGGUGACCACCUAGGAAGACCAGGUGCUUAGGCU